UACGAAGGGGGCUAGCGUUGUUCGGAAUUACUGGGCGUAAAGCGCACGUAGGCGGCUUUGUAAGUUAGAGGUGAAAGCCUGGAGCUCAACUCCAGAAUUGCCUUUAAGACUGCAUCGCUUGAAUCCAGGAGAGGUGAGUGGAAUUCCGAGUGUAGAGGUGAAAUUCGUAGAUAUUCGGAAGAACACCAGUGGCGAAGGCGGCUCACUGGCCCGGUACUGACGCUGAGGUGCGAAAGCGUGGGGAGCAAACAGG
rnacentral:rRNA from 1 species